AUAAAAAGUACCAUAUCUUUAUCUUUUUUUAAAGUGUCACGGUUAUGUUUUUAUGAAGUGUCACUAUUUUUUAUUAAUCUAAUAAAUGUUUUUAAAAAUAAUUAUUAAUAGCGCAGUUCGACUUAUGCAUAUUUUGUAUUAACAUGUUAACAAAAACAUUUAAAAAUUAUUUACCUAAUAUCUGUUAUCAGUUAUAGCCAUCAACUACUGGCUACCAACUACCUGCAGCAACGAUCAACUGCUACUGACAGCUAAACUAAAUGAGCUGUGUUUUUCUUGUAUUUGAUGCAGAUUAUAUUCCUAAAGAUUUUAGGAGUAUCUACUUCAGGAAAAAAUGUAGAAAAUAAGAAUUUUUAGAGAUUUUUGUGUAUCCCUAAUUGGAUGAGGGUUCCUAAUUAAAUUGAUAUUCUUAAAUUUCUAAAUAGAGUGGGAUCCUUAAUUCCUAAUUAGGGUUACAUAAACACUAUAUAUAGGCACAGUGGUUCUCAUUAUUUCUCAAGUUUUGUUUUGAUAAUUUUUAUGAGAUCAAUAAUAUC
rnacentral:misc_RNA from 1 species